rnacentral:rRNA from 1 species
AGUGAACGCUGGCGGUAGGCCUAACACAUGCAAGUCGAACGGCAGCACAGUAAGAGCUUGCUCUUACGGGUGGCGAGUGGCGGACGGGUGAGGCAUACAUCGCAAUCUACUUUUUCGUGGGGGAUAACGUAGGGACACUUAUGCUAAUACCGCAUACGACCUACGGGUGAAAGCAGGGGAUAUUCGGACCUUGCGCGAUUGAAUGAGCCGAUGUCGGAUUAGCUAGUUGGCGAGGUAAAGGCCCACCAAGGCGACGAUCCGUAGCUGGUCUGAGAGGAUGAUCAGCCACACUGGAACUGAGACACGGUCCAGACUCCUACGGGAGGCAGCAGUGGGGAAUAUUGGACAAUGGGCGCAAGCCUGAUCCAGCCAUACCGCGUGGGUGAAGAAGGCCUUCGGGUUGUAAAGCCCUUUUGUUGGGAAAGAAAAGCAGCAGGUUAAUACCCCGCUGUUCUGACGGUACCCAAAGAAUAAGCACCGGCUAACUUCGUG